GAUUUCAACCGAAAAGUCAUCAACAACAAAGUUGUAUAACUCAUCAAGAUCUAUAACUUUUAUUUUGGUCAUUUCUUCAUCCGACAAAAUGAUAGUAACACUGUUCACAAAAUUUACAUCAUCUCAUUUGGUUCUAUAAACCUAUAAGAGAGAGAUAUAAACUUUGUGAACAAUAGUACUAUCACUUUAUCGGAUGAAGAAAUGACCAAAAUAAAAGUUGUAUGUCUUGAUGAGCUCUAUAAUUUUUAUGUUCAUGACUUUCUCAGCUGAAAUU
rnacentral:pre_miRNA from 1 species